AUCGGAUACACGAUCAGGUCGCUCAACUCGCCGACCUUUCGCCAUUGCGAGGGUGGCUUCUCCUUCUGCUUUUUGGACCACCACCACCACCAAAGGAAGACGACCACGGUUCCGGCCCCGACAACGGCCGCAGACACAGAACGUAUUCCGGGGAAAGGAGGCAAGGAGAGAAGUUAUUUGCGGAAAAAAAACAAAUAAAGAAAUAUCCACCGAGGAUAUUCUCAUUUCUGAUGAAGUAUCUUUCGUCGCUACUUAAAUCUGUCUCAAUCAAUGUGAAAUUUUUUUUGCACCUGUGUAAAAUUCAUCCAAUAAAUAGGCAUCUAUAAUAGGCGCUGUCAGACAUUUAUUUUUCAAGCAAUAUAUGGAAUCCGGAAUUGCAAAUCAUUUAAGACACAAUUAUUAAUUCGCGAUGUGAACGAGGCAUCUUUUUUUCAAUGGAAUCUCCCGUGUGUAUCGCCGUUCUAUAUUUGCAUCUUAUACGAUUUCGAAAAAUUGGCUCCAAGCGAUACAAAUUCGAACAACGAUUAACGGUAUUCGAACGAAUGGAAUACCGGCAUCCUUCUCGGCCAGCUUGGAACAAAUAAAAUGUAAAUUGUUGAAAUUGACAUCCAUUCGUCCGUGAGAAAAUUGGAACGGAACGUAACGGAAUAUCACGGUUGACCAGGAGUACGUUAGACGUGUUGCAUAAUUUGUUGAAUGAUGUUGAAAAAAAAAAAAUCUUAUCGAAGGUCUUUUAAAAAUGAAUACUCGAAGAAUGUCGUGCUUUUAUUUUUUUCUUAUCGUUCUUGAUAAUUAUUGUAAAAAUAUUCUCGAUCAUCGAGAUUUUCAUUAGAGGAUAUUUUGUGUCGAAUGUUAAUUUAAGAAUAACACGAAGAAUAUACAAUUAUCCGGAUUAUUUCCGAUUUGUGAUAAUCGUGCGAAGUGAAUAAAUACACUUAUCUUA